AAAAAUCAAAAUAUAGUUGAUUUACAAUAUUAUAUUAGUUUCAGGUGUACAGCAUAGUGAUUCAGUAUUUUUGCAGAUUCAUUCCAUUAUAGGUUAUUACAAAAAAAUGGUAAUAUAAUUCCCUGUGCUGUACAGUAAAUACUUGUUGAUUAUCUAUUUCAUACACACUGUUCUUGGUGGUCUUUCUUCCCCAUUGCAGAUCUGAUGCUCUAUGACACUUCCAUGCACUCUGACUAUUCCUCCACAAAGGCACUCACACUGUAUAAAAUGAUUUCUCCCUUCUAAGCUGAAAGUACAGGAUCAAGUGGGGGUGGUGGUUCUGGGUAACAGUGGUAACAAACCUGACUAGUACCUGUGAGGAUGUGGGUUUGUUCCCUGGCCCCACUCAGUGGGUUAAGGAUCUAGUGUUGCCUUGAGCUGUGGUGUAUGUUGCAGACUUGGCUCGGAUCCCACAUUGCUGUGGCUGUAGCAUAGGCCUGCAGCUGUAGGUCUGAUUUGACCCCUAGCCUGAGAACUUCCAUAUGCCAGGGGUGUUGCCCUAAAAAGCAAAGAAAAAAAAAAGGAGGGGGGUUUCUGUUCACUUUGCAUCCUAUUUUCUGCACUAUCACUGUGUGAUGAAUCAGUGAACAAACAAAUGCAAAAAAUAUUCCCUAAACUGCUAUUAACUCAAUUUACGUGUAUUAGAAACUGAAUUUCUGACCCAGGUUUUUGUUCCUUUUUUAUUCAACUUUAGCCUAAAGAUUCAGUGUUCUCAUGCCUUAGGGAAAAGUGAUUCGAAGCAAUCUAUUUUAUACUCAGAAGAUUUAAAGAAUUUUAGAAUAUAUUGGAAUAAUGGGAAAUUAACAUAUGUGGAUGGCACUGUAUGGAUCACAGGGAAUAUAUAUUUUCCCAAAGAUAGAAAAAUUAAGUUCAGAUUCCUCUGAAAUGGGUGAAUAUUUAAGUCCCUUCAACCUAAAGAAUUCUCAGACAAGGAAAUAGAAUAGUUUGCCCUAAGGCACAGCAGUUCUUUUUAAUAACAUGACACCCAACUUCUAAAAUGCUCCCUUUCCAAGAUCUACCAGCCAAUCUAAAGUGAAUUUCAUGUCAAAGUCAAGAUCAUAGAUUGUAUCAUCUUGACUUUAUUACCUUUUCUAUUUUACAGGCCAUAUCGAUUUGAACCAUAAAGGGAGGUUAAAAUAUAUAAUUAACAUCAUUAUGCCUCAUCCAAAUCUCACAGAAUUUUACAGCAUUUUCUUUCAAACGGAGUUAUAAAACACAGAGGUAUUAGAGGCCAAAUAGCACCAUUUCUGUUGACUAUUUGAACUGUCAUGACAACUCUCUGUCACAUGGCAGGCAUCUAUGCUUGAGAAGUUCCAACUCUUAGGCAUUGCAUAGGUCUCUGCAAAGUGGUCCUGUUACAAGCUAUCAAAGAUGUACAUUCUAGAAACAUUCAUUAAUUUAUCCAAAUGUGGCCUCUUGGGACAAUACAGGCUAAGGUAGAAUCCCUCUUUCAAAGAAACAUACAUGCAAACAUUCUUUGAAGAUUUAAAAGAUUUGUUCAUUAAGAUUCUAUCCAUCUGUUUUUCAGGCUAACAUUCCAAUUUCCAUCCAUUCCUCAAGUAACAUCAUCUGGAGUCAUUUACUCCCCGGACCAUCCUUCUCUGAAUACCUUCCAAAAUGCUCAUCAGAUUUCUUUUAAUAGUUGGUAACUUCCCCUGAGCAGAGUGAUUCAAUAUAAUUUGACCAGCCUGAAGUAGGGGAAGAUGAUGGUCUCCCUCAUUCCAUUAAUGAAGAUAAUGGUUUACACAUUACCUUCUUGGGAGACCUUCAUAUUGAGAUUGUUGUUGGUUAUUUAAAUACAUAUUGUUACUAAGCCAAUAGCCCUCUGAUGCUCCAAUGUACACUUGAUUUUGGAACCAUAUCAAACUCUACAUUUAUUUCUAUUAUAUAUCCUUUUCCUCUUUCUCUUUGUCCUUUAACAUUUUUUUUUUGGCUGAAACUUAGAAAAAAUUCAUCUGUGCACUAUCCUCAAAUGGGAUACACAGAGCUUUUAUCAUUCUUAUGCACAUCAUUAACCAAAAACCCAAACAGCUCCAGGGUCAUGAAAAGGAGUGUGGAGCAUGCCACAAAAACCUUCUUUAUAUUGGGGGCAACAUUUCAAUCAGGAUCUAAUCCACCACACAAUGUUUACAUUCAGAACACAUUUUUCUACCUUUUCCACAAGGGAAAAUGAGAAACCUUGGGAAAAAUUUACAUAUGCUAAAACCAAGAAACGCCACACGGCACAUGCAAUUUAUUACAGUAGUUCUCAGAAACUAAUGCAUUGAAAUAUAUAUAUUGUGUAUCAUAUGGAAAAUGCUCACCUUUUGCUUUCUACCUGCCCAAAUCAUAUGGGGAAAGUAUAUUCCUUGCCUCUGUCUACUUCGAUUCGAUUUACAUCUCUCCCUUCCACUUCUCAGUUAUUAAAAUGAGAACUACACAGUUUAGAACCUAGCAAUAUAUUCAUUAUCAUGUUCUACAGUUACUUCCUGAGUGAUACUCUUAAAUUCCAAUUAGAUUAUAACCUUAAUGAGGGUAGGAAUAAUAUUGUGGUUUUGAUUCCAUACAACACCAAACCCCAACUAUGCCCAGUGUUGUUACAUACAACAGGAAUGCUUUGGGGAGAUCCAGAGGCUACCCAUGACUCUAAGGUCAUAGAGCCCUCUACUUCCAUUUCAUUAGGAGCCCUUAUUAAAUGCAAAGCAAGGUCACUUGGAACUAGGUCUCCCCUCACUUCUCUUCACUUUCACAUUGCAAAGAAAUUGAAGGCCCACAUUCCAGGGAACUUGGGCUGGGACCUCUUUACAUGCAGAUAUCAGAAAACUAAUACUCCAAUGGCUCAGGAGCAUCCUUUCCAAUAAUCCACUUCAUCAGUGAAAGCCAAGUCACUUUCUAUUAAAAAGUGAGUUGUGAAAUCUUGUCUGUCUUCUAACAGAUCUUUUCCCAACAAUACCACACACAUGGCCAUGUAGCAAUCACACAAAGGCACAGCACCUUUCUUCUGCCAAGGUAACUGAUCCACUUCACUAAGAAUACAUUGAUUUUUUGAGUUAAAUCUUCCAUUUCCAUAGCAAGACAGACAAAAUGACAAUACCAGUGUCUGCUACCCAGAUGACCUGUAUCCCUAUUGCUGUCUGAUGCCAGUUAAUCUCACAAUCCCAGAGACUCAGACCUGGAAAUGAAUUAUGACAUUUCUCUCCUUCUGAGCUAAGGCACCUGUGUGGCUUUGCUAUUUCACACUGACUAAUAGGUACCACUGAGGGCAAGUCUCCUCAACAGAAAAGGAGUGACGGGAGCUUCUAACAUUUACCUUCUAAAAUAGAAUUGUGGGUGGUCUUUCCUCACAUGCAAUUACACACACAUUGAGUAAUAGGAGCCACAUGUGUGCUGUCCCAGCCAGUUUAGAGGAAAAGAAAGGAAAGAAAGGACUCCAUUAAGCCUUCCUUAGGACAGGUGAUCUAACAAAUAGCUACCCAGCUCACUCCACUACAUUCAUAUUUCAAUUCUCUGAGAUGGAGAAGAAAAUGGCCAUCUGGCCAAAAAUAAUAAUGCUUGGCUCAAAAAUAACACCAUAUCAAAUGCAACCCUCUCUCCUUGAGAGACCUGUUUCCCACUGAUAUAAGUUCAGGGCACAAUGAAGGGCAUCCCUGUUCCCAAGACAAGGGACCAUUUGAAGAAUGAAAGAAUGAGAUGCAGUCUAUUGGGAGAGACCCCAUGAUUGGAAAAUAACCAGUAGUUCUUGUGCUGCCCAUGAGACAGGGAACAUGAGAUAAGGGGAAGACAUGAUUAAAAGGAACAUGUGCCCAGUAAGGAAAUCCACUGAUGGAGAAUAAUCCACAUGCCAUCAAUUUAGACCUAAGGCUGACAAUAUGGGCUGGUGAAACUGCCCCUGAAUCUUACUGGGAAAUGUCAUUCACAAUCACCUAUCUAAGUGGCACGGAGGAAGGGAGGAGGUGGUGGGGCACCUGAUAUAUUCCCUGCCUGGAUAUAAUCCCCCCAAAUGGCUCCCGCUCGCCAAUUUCUAAAAUGUAAGACUUAGACAUAUCAGAAAGACCAUUACAGGAAACAGUGUGAAAUCAACCUGUCAGUCCAUUCAGGACAAGACUGAAGUGUCAGGACUGUGAAACAUGCAAGAAAAGUAUAUCAUCAAGGUGAGGCACAUUUUUACAAGCCCUCAUUGUGCAGUUCCAGCCCCAAGCCCUACCUGUAGAAGCCCAGGGCAGUGCCUUUUCCCUGGUACCAUUCUCCAGGACUAGAAGCUGCUACUUUGCAACUUACCGUAAUUUAGUAUCGUAUAUAUUUUCAUAUCACUAGAUACUGAACUCCUAAGGAAGUUGGAUUGACAGGUUGAUCUGCACAACAUUGAUGAAAAAACUUCAUUUAUGAUAAAAUUUCCUAAUACAUUAAUAAUAGAUACAUACAAAUUCUUAUAAGCAAAAAUGUUUACUGCUAUUUAUAACAGAAAAGAAAGAGAAGGGAGGAAGGGAGGAAGGAAGAAAGGAAGAAAGAGAAAGGAGGGGAGGAAGGAAAUUCAGUUAGAAACUGACGAAACCGAUUCAUUUGAUGAAAUAUAAUGUAGCCAGCAAAGGUAAUAUUUAUUCAAAUUUAAUAAUUCCAUUGGAAAACAAGAUAGUAUUCUUGAAAAUAAAAAAAUGAAAGAUUACAUGUUCAGUAUGAUCUCUAAUAAACAAACGAAUGGACAGAUAGCUAGGUAGUCAGAAGGAAUGAAAGCAGACAGGCAGGGCAGCCAGCCAAAAUGUUUCUUUUUUUGAACUUUGCUGGCUAAAAUAAACAAGUAUUAGUUUCAUACUCAGAAACAUAUUAAAAUAAAUUUUGUACUGUAUGAUCUCACUUUGACAUGGAGUCAAAACCAACCAACCAACAAACAAGCAAAAAACACCCCAACUCAUAUACACAGAGAACUAGCAGACGAGUAAUUGCCAGAGAUGAGGAGUAGAGGAGGUGGGCAAAAUGAGUGAAGAGGGUCUAAGGAUACAAAUUUUCAGUGGUAAAAUAAAUAUCAACAGGGAUUUAAUACACAGCAGGGUGACUAUAGCUAAUAAUCCAUAUUUCAUAAGGAAAGUUGCUAAGAGAGUAGAUUUUAAAAGUUUUCAGCACAAGGAAAAAAAUUUUGUAACUAUAAAUAGUAAUGGAUGUUAACUAGACUUAUCAUGGUGAUCAUUUCACAAAAUCUACAAACAUCAAAUGUUGUACACCUGAAACUAAUACAAUGUUGUAUGUCAAUUAUACCUCAAUGAAAACAAUUUGAAACUAAGGAAGUGACAUAGGAGAACGUCAGGUUUUAAGAACUAUCUCUAAGCACAUUCGAACCUGUUACAUAGAAGAAUUUUCUAACUUACUUUAAUAAUUACCUUAAAAACAGCAAUAGUUGCUAUUAAUUACUUGCUUUGAUGUUAACAGUUAUAAAUCAGUGAAAGGGACAGUGUGUGUUCAUUAAUGACAUGAAUAGAAGCAAAGAAACUAGGCACUUAUGAUUAGAAAUUAAGCUAAUAGUAUUCAAAGUUCUUUAAACAGCAUUUAAAAAAGAGAAUUUGGCUUUGGGAGCAGGAUGUGCAAACUGGAUAAUACAAUUUAAAUGGAAUUAGCCACUCUGCUUGGGAUUACAGUAUAUAGAGCAUUGGUGACUUACUCUGAAACCAGUGAUUUAUACUGAAAUCAUAUGCUACAGAAUUACACUUGAAGUUCCUAAAGAUAUUGAUAAAUAUUGGGUCUGUUACUUAAGUCAGGUCAUUAGGGACAAGAAAAUGGAGAAACACUGAAGAAGUCUGUAAUAGUGUUCCAUGUGCCUUUGAGAUGGGCAUGUCUUUAAUAGUCAUCAAACCAUGUAAUAUUUAUCAAAUAAUCACUUAUAUCAACAUUGGCUAUCAACUUUUUUGAUCAAACAAUACACUUAUAAACUCAAGCUCUUUUCUGCCCAAGAAAAGAAUCUGUUGCAUAUUUCAGAUCACAGCUUCUGUAGCGGCUAAAGUGCUUUUAGCAGGGGUUUUCAAAAUUGGUUUUCUUACAAUGAAGCCCAGUUAACUAUAAACAGUUCUACAUUCUAUAGAUGGUUCAAAAUUUCAAGACGGUCUGGAUAAACAGGUCAUGUGGGCUUACCUUAUUUCAGGAUUUGGUGCUUUUCUCUAACUUUAAAAUAGGUUGAAGUAUUUUACCCAGAGUUAUAAAGACUAUUUGCACAACCCAAGAUAUGCUUUUGACUCUGGUAAUAAAUCAAAAAUGGAAACAAUUGGGAUGUUACCUAUUAGAGAGAGAAAACAUCUGGACAGGUGGUCACAUGAUUUUAUCCAAAGCAGAUAAAUUAAGCAAAUACGUGGCAUGAUAUUUAUUGUAUCAUUUUCAACUUGAGUGGAUACAUUUUUUUUUAAUAGGGCUGAUUCCUUGAUUUCUUCAGACUAUAAAUGCAAUCAAGUUUCCACUUGGAAAUGAUAGAAAGGCCAAAUGGUAAUUUUCAAAAGAGCCUUUCUGAGGGAGUUCAAAGAGAAAAGUGCUAAGUAUAUUUUCUUGGAGAAAUAUGACUGAUAAGAUAUUUACCUCCAUUAAACCGCACUGGGUCAGGAAACUGACUCAGAACAAUCAAAGGAGAUAACUGAGGCCACAAAAACAAUUCCAGAUGCACAAACUCGUUGCACCCUUGAAGUUUAAGAGUAGUUAUUUGACAACCAAAACACUUCACAGAUUGAAUUAACCCAACUAUGUCUCAUCUUCAAAAUAUAUUUUAUGAUGAUUUGCCAGAGUUUUCGGCAAAAUACUGGUUGAAGUAUAGCUUUAUACUAGCCACAAAAAGUUUAAUCAAGCCUAGAUUUUUUCAAAUAGUACCAAAAAGAACAGGGCAUUCUAUAUAGAGUCCAAAAAAAAAAAAAAGCCUACACAAUUUUUGUUAUGAUUAUAAGCUCUUAGUGUCCUGGCAAAUAAGAUACUUUUUGUAAAAUCUAAAAUGCCACAUGGAGAUACAGUUCAUGUCCAUUUCAUCUUUCUCUAAAUUCAAGGUCAAUUGUUUGAUAUGCCUUUAUUAGCAUUAUGGCAUUUCUCCCUUCUAAAAGCUUUAGUAUAGACAAGUGGCUUUAGUCAUUUGGGGAGACAAAUAUUCUAACAUCUUCGUUAUGACUCCAAACUCACCAUCCCAUACCUUUAUCACUGGACUCUACAUGUCAAAGCCAAUGCUCAGGAAGUUCCACCUAAUGGAAUAAUUAUAUCAACAAUUUACUAUAUGAUGAUCAUUCUCUAUUUGGUCCAGUUUAUAGUCUGUUUCUCCUUGUUGUUUUCUCUCUUGGAUUUUUCUGCUUGCCCAUAUUCUGGUCAGAAGCUAAGACACCUUCAUAUCCAAAUGUGCUUUCCACCAAUUCUACAUCCAUCCCCUCUGUGAAAAAACUAGCAGAUAAUAUGAAAUGGGAAGCCUAAACAAUUACCACUGAAAAAGUCUUUGAGAAACAAAGUCCAUAUUUUUUUUCCUUACAGGGAAAAACAAACAAGCAAACAAACAAAAACAACAGAACCACAAAACUUGUUAGUGUUUGAAUUCCUGACAAUCAAAUAGCCACCAAGGUAAAACCUCACAGGCAUUACAUCAGCUGUAGUUAAAUGUAAAUAAAUCCACUGAUAAAAGCACAAAGGCAAAAAACACAGCUUAACUUAUUUUCCCAACCACAGGAGCCAAGAGGAAGCUGAAAUUCACUAAAUCAAACAAUAUCAAAAUGAAUCAGCACCUAGGCUCUGUAUCCAUGGAGUGAUGGUAUACCAUACCUUGUUUGAGUCUCUGAACUUUUAUUGUUUUAUGAGCAAUGAAAUCAUCUCCGUGACCCCAGAGAGGGGCCACACAAGCAAACAUUAAGGAUGGAGCCCGAAGCAGAGACUGAGAGUCUCCUGGGAAAUUUUCCUUACUCCUUUUAUGCUUCACUAAUAAAACCUCAAGACUGCAAAGGUAGCAUUGUACCCAACUAAAACAGAAUGUUUCAUAGGCUCACUGGAGGACAGGGUUAACAACUGGUAUAUAAGCUGAAGGCAUUGUCCUCGUGCAAGGGCUGCCUUAAAACUCUGCAAAGGUAUCUGAGUUCGCAGGUAUCCUGUUGUCCCCCUGGCCUCUUGCUCCUGCCUAGACUUUCCACCAGCCCCAUGGUGACCCUGAUGAUACCUUGAUAAUGGAAGCUAUAUGAUAAGAAUGAUGGGAGAGAAGAAAAAAAAAGUACAUCUGGGAAUCACCCAUAUCAGCUUGGACUGCCUCCUCCAGAUUUCAUGCUAGAGAAGAUAAAAAGAAAUCCUUUCUUGUUUACCUUGUGAUAUUUUAGAUCUCUUACUUGGGGGUGUACACAAUCCAUGACUGAUGGAGUAGCCUUAUUAUUAGUAAAUCUGAAGAAGGCUGUUGACCUCAAAUCAUUAAUACAUUAGUCAAGUUGUUUUUCCAUUAGUGAGAACAGGUUGGAUAAAGUAAAUACAACUAUUCUUUUUUUAAAAAAAAACUUUCUAUGGCUGCACAUGCAGCAUUGGGAAGUUCCCAGGCUAGGGGUUCAAUUGGAGCUGCAUAUGCCACCUACACUGCAGCUUGAAGAAAUGCUGGAUCCUCGACCCAAUAAAUGAGGCCAGGGAUCAAACCCGCAUCCUCAUGGAGACAAUGUUGGGUCCUUAGCCCCCUGAACCUGAAAAGGAAAUCCCAACUUUUUUUUUU
rnacentral:lncRNA from 1 species